rfam:Anopheles gambiae M scf_1925497993 genomic scaffold, whole genome shotgun sequence.
UAUAGUUAUUGACUCUGUAAUGGGAUGGGAUCCGAAGCCCUCCGAGGGAUAACAUAAGCUCUCCCAUCCAACUCCUAUUCCGACACCUCCUCGUCGUGCAGAGUGGUAACAUGUGCCUCCGUAUAUCCUAGCUUGGGUACACGGGCUAGAUCCAACCCCUUGGGCGGAUGGUGGCAUAUGGCGAACCAGGAGGGG